GGGGUGAGUGUGAGUGUGAGAGCGAGAACAGCCCCGCAGGUCCCGAGGCGCUGGCUGGGGACAAUGCCGCGGAAAGUUCCCAGUCCCCAGCCGCAGAUCUGCAGAAUUGAAAUGAAAUGUUUUGAGCUCUUCAAGCUGACUCGUCAGAAUCCUGGAGCCUUUUAAAAAAUGACGAAGUGCCCAAUGUGGAAAUCAUAGAUUUCAAGGAAGGAACAAGAAAAUUGAUGAAACAAGUUCAAAAGAAAGAAGCUUGGCCAAUUUGAUGUCAAUGGAAAUGCGUGAGAUUUUUAUUCAGCAUUCACACCUGAGCAAUGCUUUUGGUCAUGAUGUCAUACUAAGAAGAAACCACCUGAGAUGAGACUGUUAGAUGUUCAGAGCAAACAAAAACAAAAACAGACCAACAAAAAAAACCCAAAACAAAACAGAAGUUUCUGAAGGACAGCAGAAAUGGCUUUGCAGGACCACAACAACCACUCCCAGUCAUGAUGGAGAGAAGUGUUCAAUACCCACAGAUCCUGAACGUUGAGCUGAUUAUACUAACUAGAUGGGACUUAGUUUUGUCUACCGUGGGGUGAGCGUAUACUACCUGAGGGAACAGGUUCUCUAUGGUGAAGAUGGCAACUUGCUGACUCAGUCUCAGAAUGCGUUAAAUCCACAUAUUCUGGCAAGUGGAGUUCUGCUUCUCCAAUAUCUCUUCCAGACUAAGUCUCGAAAGGACAGUAAUUGAUCCACCCUGAGUCAUAUGCCCAUGUCCAAAGCAAUGAGUUUGGGAAAUUUCAUGACACACUCCUAAUUUUGUGGUAGGAGACACAUCAGAACCACACAAUGAGUCAGUCCUAUUUAUGAAAUAGAGGUUCAUCUAUCAGAUGAAAGGGAAAAAAGUUGUAAAAACAAAACAGAUGUUCACUAAUGGGGAUCUAUCUGAAUUUCACCUGUAACUACAAAUGCUCACAAGUAGAUUUACAGUUUUCCUAGAGUGUCAUGAAUUUAAAAACAUAUGCAUGGAAUCAUAAAGUAAUAUCCUAAUCACCUCUCACAACCUUUCUCUCCUUAACAUAAAAUGAGAAUAUUUUAGCAGCAGGAGAAGGAUUUUCAUUUAUAGACCUUUAUCAGACACUAAUGUAGGAUUGAGUUUGACCUGAUACAGUGUUCUAUCUCUGAGUGUUGUCACUCAGUUUUAUCAUAAAUAAAAUUUAUUUUAUAUGAUAUCAUAUAGAGAACAAAUUUACUUAUUUUUCUCAUGUAAUCAUGUAAUCAAUUGUUCCAACAUAAUCCAUUGAAUAGAUAUUGUGGCAUUUCCCUAAUUAUUUAUAAAGGCACUGUUACUAGAUAUGAAUAUUUAUAUAUGAGGAUAUGAAUCGUGGCUCUCUGAUUUGUUCAUUAUUUGCUUGUCUAUUCCUGUGCCAGUAUCAUACAAUUGGUACUAAUAUAGUGUUCUGAUAUUGACAGGAUGAAGUGCUCCUUCUAAUGAUGUAGCUUUAAAUUUGUCUUGGUUGUGCAUUUCUUUUUAUUCUUCCAUAGAGAUUUGUGGUUCAGUUGUCAGCUUUGAAAAUCACUUUUGGGAUUUGAAUUUGAAUUGCAUGAAAUUUGUAGACUAACUUGUAGAAAAUAGACAUUUUUAUGAUAUGAAUUUACACAUCCUUGUAACCAUGGGUGUGUUAUUUAUUUUCACUUUUGAAUAUUAUUGUGGGUAUUUAGUAAUAAAAAUAACAAUCGACGAGUUACAUGGUGGUUACUAUGUGACAGAUGUUGUCAAAGUUCCAUCCAUAUAUCAACUUAUUAUAUAUUCUUAUGGGAAGAGACCGUUAUUAUCUCCAUUACACAAGUAAGAAAAUCGAGGUACAAAGAGCUUAAGUAACAUGUGCUAAGUCAUAUAAGAGUAAAGCUUUAUUUGAAUCCAUGCAGUUUGUCUCCAGAGCUUGAAAUCCAUUUUAUUUUAUUUUAUUUUUGCUUUUUAAAAAAAAUUUUUUUGAGACGGAAUCUCGCUUUGUUGCCCAGGCUGGAGUGCAGUGGCACAAUCGCGGCUCAUUGCAACCUCCACCUCCUGGGUUCAAGCAAUUCUCCUGCCUCAGCCUCCCGAGUAGCUGGGACUACAGGUGGGCACCACCACGCCCAGCUAAUUUUUUGUAUUUUUAGUAGAGAAUGGGGUUUCACCAUGUUAGCCAGGAUGGUCUCGAUCUCAUGACCUCAUGUUCCACCUGCCUCGGUCUCCCAAAGUGCUGGGAUUACAGGCGUGAGCCACUGCAUCCAGCCUGAAAUAUUUACCAGUAUCUGAUAUUGCCUCACUAAGAACUUUGCCCAACUCCUUAGUGAUUCUACCAUUGGCUUAGUAUUUUGGAUUUUCUAGUAGACAAUAAUAUCGUGUGCAUAAAGCAAAUACAAUUAUUAUUACAAUAAAAUUUUUAAACUACUCAUUUGUACUUGCUUUCAUAAAGCCUUAGCUAAUUCCAACAAAAUAUUGAUUACUGUGGGAGAGAGUGGUAAAUCUUAUUUUGUACCUAAUAUUAAAUAAAAU
rnacentral:lncRNA from 1 species